rnacentral:piRNA from 1 species
UUUGAAAGAGUUGUUUAUGCA